GAUGAACGCUGACAGAAUGCUUAACACAUGCAAGUCAACUUGAACUUCGGUUUGGGUGGCGGACGGGUGAGUAACGCGUAGAGAACUUGCCUCACAGCUAGGGACAACAUUUGGAAACGAAUGCUAAUACCUGAUAUUAUGAUUUUAGGGCAUCCUAGAAUUAUGAAAGCUAUAUGCGCUGUGAGAGAGCUUUGCGUCCCAUUAGCUAGUUGGAGAGGUAACGGCUCACCAAGGCGAUGAUGGGUAGCCGGCCUGAGAGGGUGAACGGCAACAUGGGGACGGAGACACGGCCCUUAUUCCUACGGGAGGCAGCAGUGGGGAAUAUUGGACAAGGGACCAAGAGUCUGAUCCAGCAAUUCUGUGUGCACGAUGAAGUUUUUCGGAAUGUAAAGUGUUUGCAGUUGGGAAGAAAAAAAUGACGGUACCAACAGAAGAAGUGACGGCUAAAUACGUG
rnacentral:rRNA from 1 species